UCAAGGUGAGAGAUACGGAGGUAGAGCACUGAAUGUCCUAGGGGGUAUUGCACCUACCGAAGACUAUCAAACUCCGAAUGCCGUCAUCUUAUACUUGGGAGUCAGACUGUGGGUGAUAAGAUUCAUAGUCGAAAGGGCAACAGCCCAGAUCGUCAGCUAAGGUCCCUAAAUGUAAGUUAAGUGGUAAAGGAUGUGGGAUUGCACAGACAACCAGGAUGUUGGCUUAGAAGCAGCCACUCAUUCAAAGAGUGCGUAAUAGCUCACUGGUCGAGUGAUCCUGCGCCGAAGAUUUCCGGGGCUAAAACUUACUACCGAAGCUACGGCAUCAGUAAUGAUGGGUAGGGGAGCUUCCCAUACGGGUUGAAGCAUGACCGUAAGGACAUGUGGACAGUAUGGGAGUGAGAAUGUUGGCAUGAGUAGCGAGAUGUGGGUGAGAAUCCCACAGGCCGUAAACCCAAGGUUUCCAGGGGAAGGUUCGUCCGCCCUGGGUUAGUCGGGACCUAAGCUGAGGCCGAAAGGCGUAGGUGAUGGACAACAGGUUGAUAUUCCUGUACUACCGAUAACCAUUUGAGAGAAGGGAUGACACAGUAGGAUAAGCUAAGCACACUGUUGGUUAUGUGUGCCCAAGCAUUGAGGCAGUCAAAGUAGGCAAAUCCGCUUUGAUAAUGCUGGGAUGUGAUGGGGAGCGAAAUUUAGUAGCGAAGUAGCUGAUUUCACACUGUCAAGAAAAGUCUCUAUCGAGGUUAAAGGUACCCGUACCGCAAACCGACACAGGUGGGUGAGGAGAGUAUCCUAAGGCCAGCGAGAGAACUGUUGUUAAGGAACUCGGCAAAAUGACCCCGUAACUUAGGGAUAAGGGGUGCCACCAUCAGGUGGCCGCAGAGAAUAGGCCCAAGCGACUGUUUACCAAAAACAUAGGUUUCUGCUAAGUCGCAAGACGAUGUAUAGGAGCUGACGCCUGCCCGGUGCUGGAAGGUUAAGGGGAUCUGUUAGAGCAAUCGAAGCAGUGAACUUAAGCCCCAGUAAACGGCGGCCGUAACUAUAACGGUCCUAAGGUAGCGAAAUUCCUUGUCGGGUAAGUUCCGACCCGCACGAAAGGCGUAACGAUUUGGGCACUGUCUCAACAACAGACUCGGUGAAAUUGUAAUUCCGGUGAAGAUGCCGGAUACCUGCGACAGGACGGAAAGACCCCAUGGAGCUUUACUGUAGCUUGACAUUGGGUCUUGGUACUACAUGUACAGGAUAGGUGGGAGGCUUUGAAACCAGGACGCCAGUUUUGGCGGAGCCAUCCUUGGGAUACCACCCUUGUAGUACUGGGACUCUAACCAUAGGCCAUGAAUCUGGUCUUGGGACACUGUCAGGUGGGCAGUUUGACUGGGGCGGUCGCCUCCCAAAAGGUAACGGAGGCGCUCAAAGGUUCUCUCAGUACGGUCGGAAAUCGUACGUAGAGUGUAAAGGCAAAAGAGAGCUUGAUUGCAAGACAUACAGGUCGAGCAAGGAUGAAAAUCGGACUUAGUGAUCCGGUGGUUCUGCGUGGAAGGGCCAUCGCUCAACGGAUAAAAGCUACCCUGGGGAUAACAGGCUUAUCUCCCCCAAGAGUCCACAUCGACGGGGAGGUUUGGCACCUCGAUGUCGGCUCAUCACAUCCUGGGGCUGUAGUAGGUCCCAAGGGUUGGGCUGUUCGCCCAUUAAAGUGGUACGCGAGCUGGGUUCAGAACGUCGUGAGACAGUUCGGUCCCUAUCCGUCGCAGGCGUAGGAAAUUUGAGAAGACCUGUCCUUAGUACGAGAGGACCGGGAUGGACGUACCUCUGGUGUACCAGUUGUCCUGCCAAGGGCAUGGCUGGGUAGCUAUGUACGGAAUGGAUAAGCGCUGAAAGCAUCUAAGCGCGAAGCCAACUUCAAGAUAAGAUUUCCCACCGCAAGGGUAAGACCCCAGAAAGACUAUCUGGUUGAUAGGUCGAAGGUGUAAGUGCAGCAAUGUAUUUAGCUUAUCGAUACUAAUAGGUCGAGGACUUGACCAA
rnacentral:rRNA from 1 species